rnacentral:rRNA from 1 species
GAACGCUGGCGGCAUGCCUUACACAUGCAAGUCGAACGGCAGCACGGGAGCAAUCCUGGUGGCGAGUGGCGAACGGGUGAGUAAUAUAUCGGAACGUGCCCGGUCGUGGGGGAUAACGUAGCGAAAGCUACGCUAAUACCGCAUACGAUCUACGGAUGAAAGCGGGGGAUCGCAAGACCUCGCGCGAUUGGAGCGGCCGAUAUCAGAUUAGGUAGUUGGUGAGGUAAAGGCUCACCAAGCCGACGAUCUGUAGCUGGUCUGAGAGGACGACCAGCCACACUGGGACUGAGACACGGCCCAGACUCCUACGGGAGGCAGCAGUGGGGAAUAUUGGACAAUGGGCGAAAGCCUGAUCCAGCCAUGCCGCGUGUGUGAAGAAGGUCUUCGGAUUGUAAAGCACUUUAAGUUGGGAGGAAGGGUAGUAACCUAAUACGUUGCUACUUUGACGUUACCGACAGAAUAAGCACCGGCUAACUUCGUG